UACACGAAUGCUGCAUUCACCGUAAGGAAGUUGAGUGGCGGACGGGUGAGUAACACGUGGGUAACCUGCCUAAAAGAAGGGGAUAACACUUGGAAACAGGUGCUAAUACCGUAUAUCUCUAAGGAUCGCAUGAUCCUUAGAUGAAAGAUGGUUCUGCUAUCGCUUUUAGAUGGACCCGCGGCGUAUUAACUAGUUGGUGGGGUAACGGCCUACCAAGGUGAUGAUACGUAGCCGAACUGAGAGGUUGAUCGGCCACAUUGGGACUGAGACACGGCCCAAACUCCUACGGGAGGCAGCAGUAGGGAAUCUUCCACAAUGGACGCAAGUCUGAUGGAGCAACGCCGCGUGAGUGAAGAAGGUCUUCGGAUCGUAAAACUCUGUUGUUAGAGAAGAACACGAGUGAGAGUAACUGUUCAUUCGAUGACGGUAUCUAACCAGCAAGUCACGGCUAACUACGUGCCAGCAGCCGCGGUAAUACGUAGGUGGCAAGCGUUGUCCGGAUUUAUUGGGCGUAAAGGGAACGCAGGCGGUCUUUUAAGUCUGAUGUGAAAGCCUUCGGCUUAACCGGAGUAGUGCAUUGGAAACUGGAAGACUUGAGUGCAGAAGAGGAGAGUGGAACUCCAUGUGUAGCGGUGAAAUGCGUAGAUAUAUGGAAGAACACCAGUGGCGAAAGCGGCUCUCUGGUCUGUAACUGACGCUGAGGUUCG
rnacentral:rRNA from 2 species